UACGUAGGGUGCGAGCGUUAAUCGGAAUUACUGGGCGUAAAGCGUGCGUAGGCGGUUCGCUGUGUCCGAUGUGAAAAGCCCCGGGCUUAACCUGGGAAUGGCAUUGGAAACUGGCGGGCUUGAGUGCGGCAGAGGGGGGGUGGAAUUCCGCGGUGUAGCAGUGAAAUGCGUAGAGAUGCGGAGGAACACCGAUGGCGAAGGCAGCCCCCCUGGGUCGACACUGACGCCUCAGGCACGAAAGCGUGGGGAGCAAACAGG
rnacentral:rRNA from 1 species